CAUCAAGAAGCUAAUAAAGCAUUAACCUUUUAAGUUAAAGAUUGAGAGUCCCCACCCUCUCCUUGAUGA
rnacentral:tRNA from 1 species